rnacentral:tRNA from 1 species
GCCUGAAUAGCUCAGCUGGUAGAGCAGCGCAUUCGUAAUGCGAAGGUCGUCGGUUCGAUUCCGGCUUCAGGCA